UAUAUAUAUAUAUUAUGAAAACAGUAAAUGAUUUACCGUAUUUAUUUUAUAUAUAUGUAAAGACGGUGAAUGAUUCACCGCCUUUAUAGUAAAAAUCCAACGUGGCAAAAGAAUGGUUAGUUUUUCAAAUAAAAUUUUGAUAGAAUUAUUUUGCCAACUUAAAAUUUUUGAAGGUUAAUUUUAUAAAAAAGCCCGUAGGGCUUACAUAUCCAUAUUUUUUGCCAUUGUAUUAUACUAGUGUAGUGACCCGCGCGAUGCGGCGGAUAGAUAUAUUAUAAUAUUUUAAAAUUUAAAUUCUAAAUUUUAGAUCCUUAUAUUUUUAUAAGUUAUUUUGUAGAGAGUAUAACACAUUUACUAUAAAAGUUUUAGUAAUUUUAAAGUAUAUUAAAAAGUAUGAAGAUUUUUUUUUUAACAUUUUAAUAUUUUACAUUGAAACAUCAUAAGUAUCAAAUCACAUUUAUUUCCGACAACCUUAUAUAGAUACCUUAUUAUAUAGAUAGUGACGUGUAGAUUUAAUUAGUAACAAUAGAAAAUAUAUUUACCAAACAAAUUUCAACAUAUCCAUUAGAUUGUGUUAUGUAUGACGUUAGGCUGUAUAAUAAUUAAUCAUUUCAAAAAUUCUAAAUCCCAAUAUAAAUAAAUUCAUCAAAAUUUUUAAUACAAUCAAAUCAUUAUACAAUAGAGAUAUUAUGAUAUGUAAACAAAUCAAAUCAUUAAAUAAAGGAGAUAUUGUGAUUUGCAAACAAAAAUAAACAUAAAAAUUUAUAAUAUAAUAGCCAAAAUACUGAAAAUAAAUAUUAAAAAAAUAUAGAAAUUCUAAAAAAAAAACCUUAAAUUGGAAUAAUCGAAUCCCACGUAAUUUAAAAUAUAUUGUAUGUUAGAAAAAUCUGAGUAAACAAAUAAAGUAUCAAAUUCAAAUAAAAAAAAAACCUUUCAAAUAGUUAAUUGUUACAGACAGAUGCGAUCAAUUUUCUUGAGACAAAAUAAACAGUAUUUAGUAUAUAUUAUUUCUUAUUCAUCAAAAAUGAGUAUGAGUACAACCCUUUAUAUAAAUUCUAAAUUGACUUUUCAUAUUCUAAGAUGACCUUUCAUUUUCUUCUAUUAAAAUAUACGACUUUUCAUAUUCCCAACUUUUUAAAUUUUUAUCCAACCUUUCACCAUCUAAUUAAUUUAUAAAAAAUUGGUGGGACCUGCACUCUUAAUUUAAAUUCUAAAUUGACUUUUCAUAUUCUAAGAUGACCUUUCAUUUUCUUCUAUUAAAAUAUACGACUUUUCAUAUUCCCAACUUUUUAAAUUUUUAUCCAACCUUUCACCGUCUAAUUAAUUUAAAAAAAAUUGGUGGGACCUGCACUCUUAAUUUAAGGGGUAGUAGGGCUAUAUUCCUAAAUUAAAGGAAUGAUAAUCUAUCCCUAGAAAAAAAAUAAUGAAAGAGAAAAUUCAAUUAAUUUUAAAAAAUAAAAAAUUGAUGGGACCCACACCCCCAAAUUAAGGAGGUUGGGCCACAUUAGCUUGAAAGACAUGAGGAUUCAUAGUUUUACUAGUGUAGAGACCCGCGCGAUGCAGCGGGUAGAUAAUAGAAACAAAUUAUUAAUAUUUUAAUAAAAUUUAUAUUUACAGCUUAUAGAAAGCUAUGCCAUGUUAAGCACAGUCAAUUUGCAUGACUAAAUUCAAUUGUUAAAAAAUAAAAUAAUAGCUAGAAGCAUAUGAAAUACAUAAAUAAUAACUUAACGUAUCUAGCUUAAGAAAAUUUUGGUUGGCGUCUCAGGCUCCAGUCUCCGCAUCAUACUUUUUAAUUUACGAAAGAAAUUUUGCCCACAACAGUGUCUACUAAAAAAAAUGAUCAUAAUAUGAAAAUAAAACAAAAAACAUCAAUAUUAAAAAAACUAAUAUUUGUUUGGAGCACUUCUCUCACUCAUCCAAACCUUAUACAUCUUCUUAAUCUUCAGCUGGUAGUUGCUCCCCGUGCCGAGUCAUUGCUGAAUUUCCAUUGUAACCUAUGAACAAACACCUCAUCUGCAUUAUCAAACUGCGAUAUCUAAACCGACACAGCCUUACCAUCACAUCAGCCACAGAAACCCUAAUUCUUAAAUAAUUUGAUUUACCAAGAAGUUCCUGCGAUUCUUGAGAAGCGAGCUCCCGCACAACAUCCCCGCGAAGAGGAGGCUAGGACGGCGCUCCCCUCGGCCGAGUUGCGGGCGCGCGUGAGCCGUGCGAGGAGGCAGCCGAGGCGGCGGCGGUUCAUGGCGAGCGACGGCUCCGGUGCAGACCGG
rnacentral:lncRNA from 1 species